rnacentral:misc_RNA from 1 species
GAAAUGCGAUACGCAAUGCGAAUUGCAGAAUUCCGCGAGUCAUCAGAUCUUUGAACGCAAAUGGCGCUGGGUUAACCAAUACCCCAGCAUGUUUGUUUCAGUGUGUUAGGAAUUCAUAAAUCUUAAUGCGGUUGAAGAAAAAAUAUUAAUUUAUUCUUUUCUUCUCCCGUUAAACAAGAAAAAAAGUACUGAAUCGUUUCAGUGCCAACCGAAGUAGUCACUUCUUUAGCAAGUGAUCUCGGUUGUUUUGCAAUACUGAAGAUUCACUUAUACAGUACUUUAAAAUAAAAUAUAUUUAUUUCUCCAUUCAACACCUGAAAUCAAGCAAGAUCACCCGCUGAACUUAA